UACGUAGGGGGCAAGCGUUGUCCGGAAUUAUUGGGCGUAAAGAGCGUGUAGGCGGUCCGGUAAGUCAGCUGUGAAAGUCAAGGGCUCAACCCUUGAAAGCCGGUUGAUACUGUCGGGCUAGAGUCCGGAAGAGGCGAGUGGAAUUCCCGGUGUAGCGGUGAAAUGCGCAGAUAUCGGGAAGGAACACCAAUGGCGAAGGCAGCUCGCUGGGACGGUACUGACGCUGAGACGCGAAAG
rnacentral:rRNA from 1 species